rnacentral:rRNA from 1 species
UUGGAGGGCAAGUCUGGUGCCAGCAGCCGCGGUAAUUCCAGCUCCAAUAGCGUAUAUUAAAGUUGUUGCAGUUAAAAAGCUCGUAGUUGAAUUUCGGGGUUAGUAGGUUGGUCAUGCCACUGGUAUGUACUGGUCUCACUGAUUCCUCCUUCCUGAUGAGCCGUAAUGCCAUUAAUUUGGUGUUGCGAGGAAUCUGGACUGUUACUUUGAAAAAAUUAGAGUGUUUAAAGCAAGCUAACGCUUGAAUACAUUAGCGUGGAAUAAUGAAAUAGGACAUUCGAUCCUAUUUUGUUGGUUUCUAGGAUUGACGUAAUGAUUAAUAGGGAUAGUUGGGGGCAUUAGUAUUCAAUUGUCAGAGGUGAAAUUCUUGGAUUUAUUGAAGACUAACUACUGCGAAAGCAUUUGCCAAGGAUGUUUUCAUUAAUCAAGAACGAAAGUUAGGGGAUCGAAGACGAUCAGAUACCGUCGUAGUCUUAACCAUAAACUAUGCCGACUAGGGAUCGGAUGAUGUUAUUUUUAAUGACUCAUUCGGCGCCUUACGGGAAACCAAAGUGUUUGGGUUC